GAUGAACGCUGGCGGCGUGUCUAAUACAUGCAAGUCGAGCGAACGGACGAGAAGCUUGCUUCUCUGAUGUUAGCGGCGGACGGGUGAGUAACACGUGGAUAACCUACCUAUAAGACUGGGAUAACUUCGGGAAACCGGAGCUAAUACCGGAUAAUAUUUUGAACCGCAUGGUUCAAAAGUGAAAGACGGUCUUGCUGUCACUUAUAGAUGGAUCCGCGCUGCAUUAGCUAGUUGGUAAGGUAACGGCUUACCAAGGCAACGAUGCAUAGCCGACCUGAGAGGGUGAUCGGCCACACUGGGACUGAGACACGGUCCAGACUCCUACGGGAGGCAGCAGUAGGGAAUCUUCCGCAAUGGGCGAAAGCCUGACGGAGCAACGCCGCGUGAGUGAUGAAGGUCUUCGGAUCGUAAAACUCUGUUAUUAGGGAAGAACAUAUGUGUAAGUAACUGUGCACAUCUUGACGGUACCUAAUCAGAAAGCCACGGCUAACUACGUG
rnacentral:rRNA from 1 species